GUAUGUGUUUACAUAGGUUUAUUUUAAGUACUCCUGUCUCUGGAUGGUAGUAUGCCACUGUUUGUAGCUAAACCAGUCACUGCCAUGAAUGAAAAUACAUACAUGGGCUGUCUGUGACAUAAAUUUUCUUUUCAUGGGGUGAAUGAUUUCCUACUGUAGCUGUUUUAUAAUACGGAGCACAUGCACGUGUUGGAGGAGGUUGGUGUGCAGAGUUCUGUGUCAAUAGAAGUUUGAAUCAAACGCCCUUUGCUCCUACGUGGGGCUCUUCUCUGUCUUUCUUGAGUGAUACAGGCACUGUAAACUCACUCAAAUAAAACCUGAUCUGAGCACUACCUUUCUGACAUGUAUCCAUUCAUUCUCUUCUUAUUUAGCAGAGAGGAUACUCCAUUAAUACCUUCAGCUCAGGAGUGUAUUUGUGCAGCAAAAUAAAGCAUGCUGUUUCAUGGCAGCUGCUUUUAUGUUUUCUGAGCGAUGGAUGUAUUUACUACACCCUCAGUACCUCUGCACAGAAAACUGAACUGCUACCUAGAGCUGAGCAGUGCAAGAAGACCCUGUUGGAGAGCUGUGCUGUGCCUGCAGGCCUCAACCUGAAUUCCCAGCACAUCUCAUGGAAAUCGGAUUGAAAGCUGACGGAAAUUGAGUGCACAAAAGGAUGGCACCCAAAGGACUUCAAGUUGAUGAGGACCCUGCACUCCAGACAUGCAAUCUUCAGGUCACGUUCGGAUGUUAAUUAGCAUCUGAAGGAGAAACAAAAAAAACAAAAGCACUCAGAAAGUAAUGUUUAAACCACCAUAUACCUGUCAGCGUAACACACCCUCUGUACUGUUUAACACUGGAAUCUCGCCGUGAUGCUCGUGUCACUUUCCGUACCGCUUGUUGCGCAUUAAAGAAGUCACUCAGCUGUGCUGCCAUCAGUGUUCAUUAAUUCAUACAGAACCCCGAGGGAAUCGCUUAUUUCUGCUAUAAAAUUAAUGGAAAGUACUGAAGGUAAGGCUGCACAGUGUAGCAUCCUCAGUGUAAAGGGCUGAGCCCCAUCCCUGGGGGCGGAGAGCACCCUCUGGCUCUGGUUCCCUGUCUCGGGAUGCUGGGAGCUGUCUGGUUUGCUCUUUUGGAAGGGCCGCCCUUCAUCAUCCCUUUGCUUGUGUUUAUUCCUCACCUGAUUGAAAUAGACCCAACUGGGUUCCAUGUUUACGUUCUAGGACCAGCUCUUCAAUAACAUCCCAGCCACAGAGAAGUUUAAAAUAGCCUUACCUCCUCUCAGUGUCAGGAAGAGCUCUGUCAGCCCUGGUGGUGGGGAGGAGCUGGGCCCAGCUAUUCUUAGCAGCAACCUCUUUCCAGCCUAUAUAUGGGAGCUGGAGGCCAC
ensembl:lncRNA